rnacentral:ncRNA from 2 species
AGCGAGGUUGCCCUUUGUAUAUUCGGUUUAUUGACAUGCAAUAUACAAGGGCAAGCUCUCUGU